AUGGCUGUCGUCAGCUCGUGCCGUGAGGUGUUGGGUUAAGUCCCGCAACGAGCGCAACCCCUAUCAUUAGUUACCAGCGCGUCAUGGCGGGGACUCUAGUGAGACUGCCUACGCAAGUAGUGAGGAAGGUGGGGACGACGUCAAGUCAUCAUGGCCCUUACGCCCGGGGCUGCACACGUGCUACAAUGGAAGGUACAGAGGGAAGCUACUCAGCGAUGAGAUGCCAAUCUCGAAAGCCUUUCCCAGUUCGGAUCGGAGUCUGCAACUCGACUCCGUGAAGUUGGAAUCGCUAGUAAUCGCGUAUCAGCAAUGACGCGGUGAAUACGUUCCCGGGCCUUGUACACACCGCCCGU
rnacentral:rRNA from 1 species